AUUGAACGCUGGCGGCAGGUCUAACACAUGCAAGUCGAGCGGAUGAAGGGGGCUUGCUCCUGGAUUCAGCGGCGGACGGGUGAGUAAUGCCUAGGAAUCUGCCUGGUAGUGGGGGAUAACGUCCGGAAACGGGCGCUAAUACCGCAUACGUCCUGAGGGAGAAAGUGGGGGAUCUUCGGACCUCACGCUAUCAGAUGAGCCUAGGUCGGAUUAGCUAGUUGGUGGGGUAAAGGCCUACCAAGGCGACGAUCCGUAACUGGUCUGAGAGGAUGAUCAGUCACACUGGAACUGAGACACGGUCCAGACUCCUACGGGAGGCAGCAGUGGGGAAUAUUGGACAAUGGGCGAAAGCCUGAUCCAGCCAUGCCGCGUGUGUGAAGAAGGUCUUCGGAUUGUAAAGCACUUUAAGUUGGGAGGAAGGGCAGUAAGUUAAUACCUUGCUGUUUUGACGUUACCAACAGAAUAAGCACCGGCUAACUUCGUG
rnacentral:rRNA from 1 species